rnacentral:rRNA from 1 species
GGAUUAGAAACCCGGGUAGUCCACGCUGUAAACGAUGAGUACUAGGUGUCGGGGGUUACCCCCCUCGGUGCCGCAGCUAACGCAUUAAGUACUCCGCCUGGGGAGUACGCACGCAAGUGUGAAACUCAAAGGAAUUGACGGGGACCCGCACAAGUAGCGGAGCAUGUGGUUUAAUUCGAAGCAACGCGAAGAACCUUACCUAAGCUUGACAUCCCUUAGACCGGUGUUUAAUCACACCUUCCCUUCGGGGCUGAGGUGACAGGUGGUGCAUGGUUGUCGUCAGCUCGUGUCGUGAGAUGUUGGGUUAAGUCCCGCAACGAGCGCAACCCUUGUCUUUAGUUGCCAGCAUUCAGUUGGGCACUCUAGAGAGACUGCCAGGUAUAACCUGGAGGAA